GAUGAACGCUGGCGGCGCGCCUAAUACAUGCAAGUCGGACGAAGGCGCUUGAAUGGUAACAGGAAAGCGACUUAGUGGCGAAUGGGUGAGUAACGCGUUGGUGACCUACCCCAUAGAGGGGGAUAACACCGGGAAACUGGUGCUAAUACCCCAUGAGGUUUGGAGGGUUAGAGGCCUUCAAAAGAAAGGAUAAGACCGCUAUGGGAGGGGCCUGCGUCCCAUCAGCUAGUUGGUGAGGUAAAAGCUCACCAAGGCGACGACGGGUAAGGGACCUGAGAGGGUGACCCCCCACACUGGCACUGAAACACGGGCCAGACACCUACGGGUGGCAGCAGUAGGGAAUAUUGCACAAUGGGCGAAAGCCUGAUGCAGCAACGCCGCGUGCGCGAUGAAGGCCUUCGGGUCGUAAAGCGCUUUUCUGAGGGACGAGAAAGGACGGUACCUCAGGAAGAAGGUUCGGCUAACUACGUGCCAGCAGCCGCAGUAA
rnacentral:rRNA from 1 species